GCUCCUCGGCAGGAACUGGGGGCGGAGGGAGGGUCUCGGGAGGUCAGUGGCCUGCCGCCCGGCUGCUCUGAGCCCUGCUCGGCGUCCUGCCGCCCUCGGGUCUGAAGGGUUUCGCUCGAUGACCCAGGCUGGAUUGGAACUGGUGGAGCCCCCUCCCUCAGCCUCCCGAAGUUCCGAGUUGGCCACGGGCGGGCAGUCGGUUUUAUUAACCAACAACGGACUUUGUCCUCAGGAAAGUACUGGGCUCGGAGAGCACAAAUUGCCCCCGUAGCGAAGUUUUUACCCUGCUGAAAGAAGAAAGAUAUAGUCACUGGACCGAGGAACCCAAACAGGAAGGGGGGGGAGAGGAGUAAAGAAAAGCGGCCUGGGAAGAGCCCGAUCUUAUGUAAGAACAAGAGCUGAGAACAGCCCUGACUCCCUCCCCUGCCCAGAACUGGGGGAGCAAAAUAGUGGACCUAAGUGUACUAGGUGGGACCUGGACCUGACCUAUUGCUUCAUCACACCGUGCCUCAGUUUUCUUUACUGCGAAAUGGGCUGGCUACACAGGCAUACCUGUGUCAUACCUGCACUCAGGAGGCUGAGGCAAGUGGAUCACCAUGAGUUCAAGGCCAGCCUGGGCUAUGUGUGGAGACAGUCUCAAAACAAAAAAAAAAAGAGGAACUAAGACCUAAGCAUGGACCAUGCGAGGGUCUCCAAGGAGUUACACUCUCCAAGGAGUGUAAUCAUUAUGUAUAGCUGAAUUGUACUAAUAAGUUAACAUAAAGACAUUAAAAAAUUAAAAGGACUUGCCCGGGAGGUACAGUUUUAAAAACUCUGCCCAGGGCACCUGC